rnacentral:rRNA from 1 species
GCCUGUUCUAGAACCGAUAACCCCCGUUCAACCUCACCCUUCCUUGUUUAACCCGCCUAUAUACCGCCGUCGUCAGCUUACCCUGGGAAGGACUAAUAGUAAGCAAAACUGGUACAACCUAAAACGUCAGGUCGAGGUGUAGCGUAUGGAGGGGGAAGAAAUGGGCUACAUUCGCUACUACAGCGAACACGAAUGAUGUACUGAAACGUAGAUCUGAAGGAGGAUUUAGCAGUAAGCAGGAAAUAGAGCGUCCCGCUGAAACUGGCCCUGAAGCGCGCACACACCGCCCGUCACUCUCCCCAAAAACACCAAUCAAUUAACUAAAGCCUAAUAAUUAAAAAGGGGAGGCAAGUCGUAACAUGGUAAGUGUACCGGAAGGUGCGCUUGGAAAA